UCCGAUGUGGUGUAGUGGCUAGCAUUUAUCGCUCUCAUAGAGCUUCAAAAGUUCUUAGGGUCCGAUAAGACCGGGGUUCAAUUCCCCGCAUCGGAA